AACGGCGAGUGAAGCGGCAAAAGCUCAAAUUUGAAAUCUGGCUCCUUCGGGGUCCGAGUUGUAAUUUGUAGAGGAUGCUUCGGGUGUGGCCACGACUUAAGUUCCUUGGAACAGGACGUCAUAGAGGGUGAGAAUCCCGUCUUGGGCCGUUGGUCCACGCCCGUGUGAAGCUCCUUCGACGAGUCGAGUUGUUUGGGAAUGCAGCUCUAAGCGGGUGGUAAAUUUCAUCUAAAGCUAAAUAUUGGCCGGAGACCGAUAGCGCACAAGUAGAGUGAUCGAAAGGUUAAAAGCACCUUGAAAAGGGAGUUAAACAGCACGUGAAAUUGUUGAAAGGGAAGCGCUUGCGGCCAGACUCGAGCGCAGGGUUCAGCGGGUGCGUGUCACCCGUGCACUCCCUGUCGCCCGGGCCAGCAUCAGUUCUAACGGCCGGUCAAAGGCCCCCGGAAUGUGUCGUCUCUCGGGACGUCUUAUAGCCGGGGGUGCAAUGCGGCCCGUCGGGACUGAGGAACGCGCUUCGGCUCGGAUGCUGGCAUAAUGGCCGUAAGCGGCCCGUCUUGAAACACGGACCAAGGAGUCUAACAUCCACGCGAGUGUUCGGGUGUCAAACCCGUGCGCGCAGUGAAAGCGAACGGAGGUGGGAGCCUUAGGGCGCACCAUCGACCGAUCCUGAAGUCUUCGGAUGGAUUUGAGUAGGAGCGUGGCCGUUGGGACCCGAAAGAUGGUGAACUAUGCCUGAAUAGGGUGAAGCCAGAGGAAACUCUGGUGGAGGCUCGCAGCGGUUCUGACGUGCAAAUCGAUCGUCAAAUUU
rnacentral:rRNA from 1 species